rnacentral:rRNA from 1 species
AGCGAACGCUGGCGGCAGGCUUAACACAUGCAAGUCGAGCGGGCACUUUCGGGUGUCAGCGGCGGACGGGUGAGUAACGCGUGGGAACGUGCCCUCUGGUUCGGAAUAACUCAGGGGAACUUGAGCUAAUACCGGAUACGCCCUUUUGGGGAAAGGCUUGCUGCCGGAGGAUCGGCCCGCGUCUGAUUAGCUAGUUGGUGAGGUAACGGCUCACCAAGGCGACGAUCAGUAGCUGGUCUGAGAGGAUGAUCAGCCACACUGGGACUGAGACACGGCCCAGACUCCUACGGGAGGCAGCAGUGGGGAAUAUUGGACAAUGGGCGCAAGCCUGAUCCAGCCAUGCCGCGUGAGUGAUGAAGGCCUUAGGGUUGUAAAGCUCUUUUAUCCGGGACGAUAAUGACGGUACCGGAGGAAUAAGCCCCGGCUAACUUCGUG